rnacentral:rRNA from 1 species
GAUGAACGCUGGCGGCGUGCCUAAUACAUGCAAGUCGAGCGAACAGAUGAGGAGCUUGCUCCUCUUACGUUAGCGGCGGACGGGUGAGUAACACGUGUAUAACCUACCUAUAAGACUGGGAUAACUUCGGGAAACCGGAGCUAAUACCGGAUAAUAUAUUGAACCUCAUGGUUCAAUAGUGAAAAACGGUUUUGCUGUCACUUAUAGAUGGAUCCGCGCCGCAUUAGCUAGUUGGUAAGGUAACGGCUUACCAAGGCAACGAUGCGUAGCCGACCUGAGAGGGUGAUCGGCCACACUGGAACUGAGACACGGUCCAGACUCCUACGGGAGGCAGCAGUAGGGAAUCUUCCGCAAUGGGCGAAAGCCUGACGGAGCAACGCCGCGUGAGUGAUGAAGGUCUUCGGAUCGUAAAACUCUGUUAUUAGGGAAGAACAAAUGUGUAAGUAACUAUGCACGUCUUGACGGUACCUAAUCAGAAAGCCACGGCUAACUACGUG